rnacentral:misc_RNA from 1 species
GAUGAAGAACGUAGCGAAAUGCGAUAAGUAAUGUGAAUUGCAGAAUUCAGUGAAUCAUCGAAUCUUUGAACGCACCUUGCACCCUUUGGCAUUCCGAAGGGUAUGCUCGUUUGAGUGUCAUUGUACUCUCACACUUCCGAUCUUUGGAUUGGGAGCGGUGGACUUGGGUGUUGCUGCUUACUGUGGCUCACCUCAAAUCGAUUCGUGCACCUCUUGGUUGGACAUAGUACGGCGUGAUAAGUGUCUUCGCCGGCACCUCAGUAGAGGGUGGCUGAUCGGGAGCUCUGCUUCAAACCGUCCUCGGACAACAACUGACAACUUGACCUCAAAUCGAGUAGGACUACCCGCUGAACUUAAGCAUAUCAUAAGCGGAGGA